rnacentral:misc_RNA from 1 species
UCUCCGUAGGUGAACCUGCGGAGGGAUCAUUACAGAGUUCUCGCCCUCACGGGUAGCUCUCCCACCCAAUGUUAUCAUUACCACUGUUUCUUUGGCGGGCCGCCGGGCCCUGCUCGGCCGCCGGCUCCGGCUGGCGCCCGCCCGCCAGCGGCCCUUUAAACCCUGAAUGUCAGUGUCGUGUGAGUACUAUACAAUAGUUAAAACUUUCAACAACGGAUCUCUUGGUUCUG